rnacentral:misc_RNA from 1 species
GAAAUGCGAUAAGUAAUGUGAAUUGCAGAAUUCAGUGAAUCAUCGAAUCUUUGAACGCACAUUGCGCCCGCCAGUAUUCUGGCGGGCAUGCCUGUUCGAGCAUCAUUACAACCCUCAGGCCCCCGGGCCUGGCGUUGGGGAUCGGCGGAAGCCCCCUGCGGGCACAACGCCGUCCCCCAAAUACAGUGGCGGUCCCGCCGCAGCUUCCAUUGCGUAGUAGCUAACACCUCGCAACUGGAGAGCGGCGCGGCCACGCCGUAAAACACCCAACUUCUGAAUGUUGACCUCGAAUCAGGUAGAAAUACCCGCUGAACAUAAGC